GACGAACGCUGGCGGCGUGCUUAACACAUGCAAGUCGAGCGGCGCGGCGCACGGGUGAGUAACGCGUGAGUAACUGCCCCCCUCCUUGGGAUAACAGUUGGAAACGGCUGCUAAUACCGGCUAGUGGGGGAUGUCGCGCGUCCUCUCAGCUUGUUGGGGGGGUGCUGGCCUACCAGUGCGGUGGCGGGUAGCCGGCCUGAGAGGGUGACCUGCCACUGUGGGCUGGGAUACGGCCCAGACUAGUACGGGGGGCGGAAGUGGGGGAUAUUGCACAAUGGGGGACAGACGGAUGCAGCGACGCGCGUGGGGGAUGAAGGCUUUCGGGUUGUGAACCUCUUGCGCUAUCGAAAGGGUAGGUGGCGAAGAAGCGACGGCGAACUACGUGCCAGCAGCCGCGGUAAUAC
rnacentral:rRNA from 1 species